rnacentral:rRNA from 1 species
GACGAACCGUGCAAACGUUAUUCGGAAUCACUGGGCUUAAAGGGCGCGUAGGCGGGCGGGCAAGUCCGGGGUGAAAGCCCCCAGCUUAACUGGGGAAGUGCCUCGGAUACUGCUCGUCUGGAGGGAGGUAGGGGCGUGCGGAACUUCCGGUGGAGCGGUGAAAUGCGUAGAUAUCGGAAGGAACACCGAUGGCGAAAGCAGCGCGCUGGACCUCUUCUGACGCUGAGGCGCGAAAGCCAGGGGAGCAAACGGG